rnacentral:sRNA from 1 species
AAUCGUCCCGGCCACUGCUGCCUCAGCCUCUGCCUCCCAGCCUCUUUCUGAGGGAAAGGACAAGAUGAAGUGGAAGGCGAUUGUCACCGCGGCCAUCCUGCAGGCACAGUUUCCGAUUACAGAGGCACAGAGCUUCGGCCUGCUGGAUCCCAAACUCUGCUACCUGCUGGAUGGAAUCCUCUUCAUCUAUGGUGUCAUUCUCACUGCCCUGUUCCUGAGAUUGAAGUUCAGCAGGAGCGCAGACCCCCCCGCGUACCAGCAGGGCCAGAACCAGCUCUAUAACGAGCUCAAUCUAGGACGAAGAGAGGAGUACGAUGUUUUGGACAAGAGACGUGGCCGGGACCCUGAGAUGGGGGGAAAGCCGCAGAGAAGGAAGAACCCUCAGGAAGGCCUGUACAAUGUGAGUAGAGGAGACCUCACAUUUGACCUUGGAAAGUUGGAGGAAGGGCUCGAGGAGGGCUCCAGAGGAAGGGCUGGAGGAAGGACUGGAAGAGGGCUCCAGAGGAAGGGCUGGAGGAAGGGCUGGAGGAGGGCUCCAGAGGAAGGCGGUUGCUCUUCACUCUGUGGUCUUUGUCUGCCCAGACCUUCCCUUCUUGGAUCGAGUAAUGUCUCACCUGCUUGCGGCCUGCAGCAGCACCUGCUUCUAGAAAGUCUCCUUAGCUGAAAAGUGCCGAGUAAUCUCCCUUCCCUCCCUCUCCGACCCCUGCUGCUGGAGUUCCCAGGUUGAUCAGCCUGGGGUGUAGGGGGACACAGCAAGGUCAAGCUAGGCAAGGACGAGGUGGCCGGCCCCUUCAAGGGGCUCCUGUCCUGGGUGCUGAAGUCUUCUGAGUGUUCCCCCUUAUAGGAAGGCCAACCUCACCCUCCUGGGUGUGACCCUGAACCCUGAUUGUCGCUCUGCGUUGCCAUGCAGGAGACCCUUGCAGGUGGCAGCCUCCUGUGAAGGAGAUGCCUCCCCGCCCCUUCUGCAGGGAGGGAGGGUUGAUCUACAGCCCGUUUGGCUGUGUAAAGAGACAACUUGCUCAGAUAAAUGAUUCUGGGGCUCCAGGUGAGCCCUUGUUUUGCCCAGUCUCCAUGUCUUUGUCUAGAACUCCACCUCCUAUCUUUUAGAGCCUAACUUGAGCUCCUUAGCUCAGUGCAAACAGCUGGCAGCUCGGAGGAGACUCCAAAGGGCUGAGGACGAGGGGGGUGGGCUGGAGCUGGUUGUGGGCAGAGAAGUUUGUGUGCAUAAGGUUUGGAGCCUUGAUUGUGGGAGCCCUCCCUCCCUGCCACUGCUGCCAACUUAGGGAUCAAGAAGCUUCCUCUUGUAGGGGAGCCUGCUGCUUUCUGCAUUAGUUGGUAAAAAUCAGUGUUCCACUCCUCUUCUGCAGGCACUGCAGAAAGAUAAGAUGGCGGAGGCCUACAGUGAGAUUGGGAUGAAAGGCGAGCGCCGGAGGGGCAAGGGGCACGAUGGCCUUUACCAGGGUCUCAGUACAGCCACCAAGGACACCUAUGAUGCCCUUCACAUGCAGGCCCUGCCCCCUCGCUAACAGCCAGGGGAUUUCACCACUCAAAGGCUAGACCUGCAGACGCCCAGAUUAUGAGACACAGGAUGAAGCAUUUACAACCCGGUUCACUCAUCUUCUCAGCCACUGAAGUAUUCCCCUUUAUGUACAGGAUGCUUUGGUCAUAUUUAGCUCCAAACCAUCACACACAGACUGUUGUCCCUGCACUCUUUAAGGGAGUGUACCCCCAGGGCUUACAGCCCUGGCCUUGGGCCCUCUGGUUUGCUGGUGGUGCAGGUAGACCUGUUUCCUGGCGGUUCCUCGUUCUCCCUGGGAGGCCGGCACACUGCCUCUUACAGCUGAGUUGUUGAGUCUGUUUUGUAAAGUUCCCAGAGAAAGCGCAAAUGCUAGCACAUGCCCUAAUGUCUGUAUCAUUCUGUCAGUGUCUGAGUGGCUUCACUCCUGCUGUAAAUUUGGCUUCUGUUGUCACCUUCACCUCCUUUCAAGGUAACUGUACUGGGCCAUGUUGUGCCUCCCUGACGAGAGGGCCGGGCAGAGGGGCAGAUGGAAAGGAGCCUAGGCCAGGUGCACCCAGGGAGCUGCAGGGGCAUGGGAAGGUGGGCGGGUAGGGGAGGGUCAGCCAGGGCCUGCGAGGGCAGCGGGAGCCUCCCUGCCUCAGGCCUCUGUGCCGCACCAUUGAACUGUACCACGUGCUACGGGGGCCAGAAGAUGAACAGACUGACCUUGAUGAGCUGUGCACAAAGUGGCAUAAAAAACAGUGUGGUUACACAGUGUGAAUAAAGUGCUGCGGAGCAAGAGGAGGCCGUUGAUUCACUUCACGCUUUCAGCGAAUGACAAAAUCAUCUUUGUGAAGGCCUCGCAGGAAGACCCAACACAUGGGACCUAUAACUGCCCAGCGGACAGUGGCAGGACAGGAAAAACCCCAGUCAAUGUACUAGGACACUGCUGUGUCAUUACAGGGCACAGGCCAUGGAUGGAAAACGCUUUCUGCUCUGCUUUUUUUCUACUGUUUUAAUUUAUACUGGCAUGCUAAAGCCUUCCUAUUUUGCAUAAUAAAUACUUCAGUGAAAAUGCA